GAAUAUAUAAAGAAAUCUUCGGAUGGAAAUAUAUAUUUCUUAGCGGCGGACGGGUGAGUAACGCGUGAGGAACCUGCCUUGUACUAGGGGAUAGCCUCGGGAAACCGGGAUUAAUACCCUAUGAUACUUGAGGAUCGCAUGAUUUUCAAGUCAAAGCGAUUAAGCGGUAUAAGAUGGACUCGCGUCCCAUUAGCUAGUUGGUGAGGUAAUAGCUCACCAAGGCGACGAUGGGUAGCCGGCCUGAGAGGGUGAACGGCCACACUGGAACUGAGACACGGUCCAGACUCCUACGGGAGGCAGCAGUGGGGAAUAUUGCACAAUGGAGGGAACUCUGAUGCAGCGACGCCGCGUGAGCGAUGAAGGUUUUCGGAUCGUAAAGCUCUGUCCUAAGGGACGAUAAUGACGGUACCUUAGGAGGAAGCCCCGGCUAACUACGUGCCAGCAGCCGCGGUAAUACGUAGGGGGCGAGCGUUGUCCGGAUUUAUUGGGCGUAAAGGGUGCGUAGGCGGCCUUGUAAGUCAGAUGUGAAAUCUCACGGCUUAACCGUGGUAAGCAUUUGAAACUGUGAGGCUUGAGUACAGGAGAGGAGAGUGGAAUUCCUAGUGUAGCGGUGAAAUGCGUAGAUAUUAGGAGGAAUACCAGUGGCGAAGGCGACUCUCUGGACUGUAACUGACGCUGAGGCACGAAAGCGUGGGGAGCAAACAGGAUUAGAUACCCUGGUAGUCCACGCCGUAAACGAUGAGUGCUAGGUGUC
rnacentral:rRNA from 1 species